rnacentral:rRNA from 1 species
UUUUCGCAAUGCCCGAAAGGGUGACGAAGCGACGCCGCGUGGGUGAAGAAGGCCUUCGGGUUGUAAAACCCUGUCAGGAGUUAUGAAAUGUAGGUGCGCUAAUAUCGUGCUUAUUUGACAAAGGCUCCAAAGGAAGCCACGGCUAACUCUGUGCCAGCAGCCGCGGUAAUACAGAGGUGGCGAGCGUUGUUCGGAAUUAUUGGGCGUAAAGAGCACGUAGGUGGGUUUGCAAGUCAGAUGUGAAAGCCUUCUGUUCAACGGGAGAAUUGCAUCUGAAACUGCUAAUCUUGAGUAUAGGAGGGGAGAAUGGAACUUCUGGUGGAGCGGUGAAAUGCGUAGAUAUCAGAAGGAACGCCGGCGGCGAAAGCGAUUCUCUGGCCUAUUACUGACACUCAGUGUGCGAAAGCUAGGGGAGCAAACGGGAUUAGAUACCCCGGUAGUCCUAGCCGUAAACGAUGGGCACUAAGUAGAGGGGUUUUAAUC